rnacentral:rRNA from 1 species
CGAGCUGGGUUUAGAACGUCGUGAGACAGUUCGGUCCCUAUCUGCCGUGGGCGCUGGAGAACUGAGGGGGGCUGCUCCUAGUACGAGAGGACCGGAGUGGACGCAUCACUGGUGUUCGGGUUGUCAUGCCAAUGGCACUGCCCGGUAGCUAAAUGCGGAAGAGAUAAGUGCUGAAAGCAUCUAAGCACGAAACUUGCCCCGAGAUGAGUUCUCCCUGAGACUUUAAGUCUCCUGAAGGAACGUUGAAGACGACGACGUUGAUAGGCCGGGUGUGUAAGCGCAGCGAUGCGUUGAGCUAACCGGUACUAAUGAACCGUGAGGCUUAACCUUACAACGCCGAAG